rnacentral:rRNA from 1 species
AUUGAACGCUGGCGGCAGGCCUAACACAUGCAAGUCGAACGAGUGGCGGACGGGUGAGUAAUGUCUGGGCAACUGCCCGAUGGAGGGGGAUAACUACUGGAAACGGUAGCUAAUACCGCAUACCAUCGGAUGUACCCAUAUGGGAUUAGCUAGUAGGUGGGGUAACGGCUCACCUAGGCGACGAUCCCUAGCUGGUCUGAGAGGAUGACCAGCCACACUGGAACGGAGACACGGCCCAGACUCCUACGGGAGGCAGCAGUGGGGAAUAUGGCACAAUGGGCGCAAGCCUGAUGCAGCCAUGCCGCGUGUAUGAAGAAGGCCUUCGGGUUGUAAAGUACUUUCAGCGAGGAGGCGUUACUCGCAGAAGAAGCACCGGCUAACUCCGUGCCAGCAGCCGCGGUAAUUC